CUCUUUAAGAUAAUAAUUUAAAGUAAGACCUGCUCAGUGAUUAAUUAAACAGCCGCAGACCCCUGUGCUAAGGUAGCAUAAUAAUUAGCCUUAUAAUUUAAGGAUAGAAUGAAAGGUCAAACAGGAGAAAACUGUCUCAAUCAAAAAAAUAAACCUCACCUAAAAGUAAAAAGGCUUUUAUACAUAUACAAGACGAUAAGACCCUGAUAAACUUAUAAAUUUAAUUGGGGCAAUGAACUAAAAACACUUUAAUCAAUACAAUUACAAAACCUUCACAGCAGAUAAAGACUAGUUACUACAGGGAUAACAGCGCAAUGUUUUUUUAAAGCUCUUAUAUAAAAAAACGAUUACGACCUCGAUGUUGAAUUAAUCUUACUUCUUGGGGCAAAACCUAAGCACACGUUGGUCUGUUCGACCAUUAAAAGAUU
rnacentral:rRNA from 1 species